AGUUGAUCAUACGGUCGCGUGGCAGCUUGCCUGUCAUGAGGAAAGUCCGAGCAUCGCAGAGCAGGACGCCGGAUAACGUCCGGUGGAGGCGACUCCAAGGAAAGUGCAACAGAAACAGACCGCAGAGAAAUCUGCAAGGAUGGAAAGGGGAGGUAAGAGCUCACCGGUGCCGCGGCAACGCGGCGCGCUGUGUAAACCCCGUCCGAUGCAAGAUUGGGCUUUUGCCGUAUGGGUUGCUCGCCCGGCAUCAGCCGUGAAUAUCGCUUGAACGCAUCGGCGACGAUGCGGCCAGAUAGAUGACCGUACACGACAGAACUCGGCUUACAGAUCA
rnacentral:RNase_P_RNA from 1 species